rnacentral:rRNA from 1 species
GACGAACGCUGGCGGCGUGCUUAACACAUGCAAGUCGAACGGAAAGGCCCCUUUGGGGGUACUCGAGUGGCGAACGGGUGAGUAACACGUGAGUAACCUGCCCUUGACUUCGGGAUAACUUCAGGAAACUGGGGCUAAUACCGGAUAGGAAUCCUUGCUGCAUGGUGGGGAUUGGAAAGCUUCGGCGGUUUUGGAUGGACUCGCGGCUUAUCAGCUUGUUGGUGGGGUAGUGGCUUACCAAGGCUUUGACGGGUAGCCGGCCUGAGAGGGCGACCGGCCACAUUGGGACUGAGAUACGGCCCAGACUCCUACGGGAGGCAGCAGGGGGGAAUAUUGCACAAUGGGCGGAAGCCUGAUGCAGCAACGCCGCGUGCGGGAUGACGGCCUUCGGGUUGUAAACCGCUUUCAGCAGGGGCGAAGCUUGUGGUGACGGUACCUGCAGAAGAAGCACCGGCUAACUACGUG